rnacentral:lncRNA from 1 species
GUCCGAGGCUGCAUGGUUUCCAUCUCUGUGUCCCUGCAGCUAGACCAGUGCUCGAUGUGGCAGAGGUGCUCCACCAACAUUCACUGACUACAGCCACCUGGAUUUUAAGAGCACUCACCUGAUGCCCUCGUGCCCCAGCUUUCCAGCCCGGCAGCACCCUUGACUGUGGCUGCCAGGCUCUGUGCCAUCUGGCCCCUGCCUGCUCUCCUCUUCCACCUCCUCUGCUUU